AUGAGGCUGUUGGGUCUUCUUCUCUGCCUGGUGACAGGUCCCCAAGGUGUCCACUCCCAGGUGCAGCUGCAACAGCAACAGCGAGGCCCAGGCCUGGUGAAGCCCUCACAGACCCUCACCCUCACCUGUGCUGUCUCUGGAUUCUCCAUCACAACCAGUAGUUACUACUGGAGCUGGAUCUGCCAGCCCCCAGGGAAGGGACUAGAGUGGAUAGGGUACAUAGGGUAUGAUGGUAGCACUUACUACAGCCCAUCACUCAGGAGCCGCAUCUCCAUCUCCAGAGACACGUCCAAAAAUCAGUUCUCCCCGCAGCUGAGCUCUGUGACCGCCGAAGACACAGCCGUGUAUUACUGUGCGAGAGACACAGUGAGGGGAAGUCAGUGUGAGCCUGGACACAAACCUCCCGGCACCAGGGCUCAUAACCACCAGGUGUCACUCUGGACCCACCAAGUACAGGGCUGA